GUUCAUGCGAGGCGCUGACCUAAUAAAGAUCUUAUGCCAUCACCCAGAGAAGGAAGGAAGAUCCUUCCCCACUCCUAAUGCACACUUUUGUGCAUAUCAGAACAUUUCCUUAAAUCUAAUCUACCCCAUGAAAAUGCUGAUGGUCCUGGAGAGAUGGAUACCAUCUUAAAUUCAAGAUGAGAUGAGGUGGAGGGAAGAAGCAAGGUCUGUCUGGAAGGAAGCCAGAUGCUUCUUGGACAGAAGUACGAUAGUGUUACCUUCAGUAGAUACCUGGAUUGUUCUGUGGGCUUUAUCAUCUUGCUGCUCUUGCCUAGAGUUCCUCUCACUGCUGUUCUGUGCAUUUGUUCUGAAAGGAGAUGCCUUAAACUGAGCCCUCAUGCUGUUUCAUGGUUGGUCUGAAGAGGAGGCAGAACGGUCCAUCCUUUAGGUACCCAAGCUAAGGUAGGUCACAUCCAGCCUCAAGAUUUCCAUCAUGAUCACAGCUCUACCUGU
rnacentral:lncRNA from 1 species